rnacentral:rRNA from 1 species
AUUGAACGCUGGCGGCAGGCCUAACACAUGCAAGUCGAACGAGUGGCGGACGGGUGAGUAAUGUCUGGGAAACUGCCUGAUGGAGGGGGAUAACUACUGGAAACGGUAGCUAAUACCGCAUACCAUCAGAUGUGCCCAUAUGGGUUUAGCUUGUUGGUGGGGUAACGGCUCACCAAGGCGACGAUCCCUAGCUGGUCUGAGAGGAUGACCAGCCACACGUGAACGAGGACACGGUCCAGACUCCUAGGGGAGGCAGCAGUGGGGAAUAUUGCACAUUGGGCGCGAGCUUGAUACAGCAAUGCCGCGUGUAGGAAGAAGGCCUUCGGUUUGUAAAGUACUUUCAGCGGGGAGGCGUGACCCGCAGAAGAAGCACCGGCUAACUCCGUGCCAGCAGCCGCGGUAAUAC